rnacentral:rRNA from 1 species
GACGAACGCUGGCGGCGUGCCUAACACAUGCAAGUCAACUUGACUGAAGGAGCAAUCUGACAGUAGAGUGGCGCAAGGGAGCGUAACGCGUAAGUAACUUGCCCAAGGUAAGGAAUAACGUCGAGAAAUCGGCGCUAAUACCUCAUAAUGCAGCGGAUCCGCAUGGAUAUGUUGUUAAAGGUUUACCGCCUUGGGAUAGGCUUGCGUCUGAUUAGCUAGUUGGUGUGGUAACGGCACACCAAGGCUACGAUCAGUAACUGGUCUGAGAGGAUGAUCAGUCACACUGGAACUGAGACACGGUCCAGACUCCUACGGGAGGCAGCAGUGAGGAAUAUUGGGCAAUGCUCGAAAGAGUGACCCAGCAACGCCGCGUGGAGGAUGAAGGUAUUCUAUAUCGUAAACUCCUGUGAGAGCAGACGAAAGACAGAUUAUUAAUACUGG